rnacentral:rRNA from 1 species
AUUGAACGCUGGCGGCAUGCUUUACACAUGCAAGUCGAACGGCAGCGGGGGCUUCGGCCUGCCGGCGAGUGGCGAACGGGUGAGUAAUGCAUCGGAACGUGCCCAUGUCGUGGGGGAUAACGUAUCGAAAGGUACGCUAAUACCGCAUACGCCCUGAGGGGGAAAGCGGGGGAUUCUUCGGAACCUCGCGCGAUUGGAGCGGCCGAUGUCGGAUUAGCUAGUAGGUGAGGUAAAGGCUCACCUAGGCGACGAUCCGUAGCGGGUCUGAGAGGAUGAUCCGCCACACUGGGACUGAGACACGGCCCAGACUCCUACGGGAGGCAGCAGUGGGGAAUUUUGGACAAUGGGCGCAAGCCUGAUCCAGCCAUGCCGCGUGAGUGAAGAAGGCCUUCGGGUUGUAAAGCUCUUUCGGCCGGGAAGAAAUCGUGUUCUCUAACAUAGGACAUGGAUGACGGUACCGGACUAAGAAGCUCCGGCUAACUACGUGCCAGCAGCCGCCGUAAUAC